ACAACGGUUGCACCCCCCGCGGCGGUCCCUGCUAGCCGGACACCGCUGGCAACCCGGCGCCAAGACGUGCGCGCAAGUGCGGACGCCCGCGGGCGAGCAGCGUGACGCAGCGACGGCCCGCCCGGGCUUCCGGGGCAUCAUCCGGUCG
rnacentral:rRNA from 1 species